rnacentral:snoRNA from 2 species
CGUCUCAUGCUAAACUGUGUUCAGCGACUCCCCACCUGGACAUGGGUAGAAUGAGUACGCAGAGUAACCCACAAGUUUUAAUAUCCUAGUGCUUGACGAUACAUAUCCCCUCAUCUUGCUCUCUUGGAACUUAAAACUACA